GAUAACCGAAGAUGAUUGCAGGGUUGAGUGUGGGAUUAGUAAUCACACGCACAUCACCACCACCUGGAGCCCAUGUAUCAUAAACUCCACCGAAGAACAUAGCCUUCAGCACCAAUAACAACGCACCGCAUCCCAGGAUGAUCAGGUGGAAGCCGAUGAUGUUGGUCAUCUUGUUCUUGUCUUUCCA
rfam:Aphanizomenon flos-aquae 2012/KM/D3 mira_125_len_S_2:67290, whole genome shotgun sequence.